rnacentral:misc_RNA from 1 species
GGCUUUCAUCACACAGCUCAUUCUCUUCCAAAACCGUGACUUCAAUAAGAAGUCACAGUGCCUUUGAUCAUCGAUUAACCCCUACAAUUCAAAUUCUUCUUCACUGUAACACAGAGAUACAGAGAGGGAGAUCGCAAUUGAGGAUUAGGGUUUGAAAUAGAGGAAAUUUAGACACCCAAAAGUGCGUGCGAGAUCGAAGAAGAUUGC